rnacentral:lncRNA from 1 species
UUUUUUAUUUUAUUUUUUUUUUUUCAUAAGUUUAUUUUUUUAAGGGCCACAUCCAUGGCAUAUGGAGGUUCCCAGGCUAGGGUUCGAAUCGGAGCCAUAGCCACAAACCUACACCACAGCCACAGCCACACCAGAUCCAAGCUGUGUCUGUGACCUACACCACAGAUCAUGGCAACACCAGAGCCUUAGCCCACUGAGUAAGGCCAGGGAUUGAACCUGCGUCCUCAUGGUUACCAGUCAGAUUCGUUUCCACUGAGCCAUGAUGAGAACUCCUGUGGUUUUAAAGAACUAGUACUUGUUAUUUUAUCUGAGUUCUGGUGGGUCGAGGAAGCCAUUUUUAUCUGAGAUGAUUUGGUUGAUCCUUGUGAUUAGCCGGUAGCUCAUCUGAGGUUAUAUGGUCCUGGUCCAGGAUGGCUUUCCUUACUUGCUGGCUGAUGAUGCCCAUGGGGCAAUGCAGAUGACUUGUUAGUGCAUCGCUCCUCAUCAGAAAGUCUACCCUGGGUUCCCUUGUAUGGUAGUGGACACAGGAGUCAUCAGAGCAGCAAGAGGAAAGGAAGCAAGCCACAACACAGAGGCAAUUUUCAAGCCUCUGUUUAAGUCACAUUUGCUAUCAUCACCUUGACCCACACAGGUUGUGUGGGCAAACUUAGAGUCAGUGUGGGAGGGGCAUAAACCAGGGACAUGAUUGCUGCCACUUUAUGAAUAGUGUACCACAACUGGGUAAUGCCAGCCAUUCUUGCUCUUCUACUGGAAUAGCUGCCACCACCCUGUGACUCAGCACAGCAGCCUCAACAAUUAUUCAUAUGAAGUUGCAGCUACAGAUUGCAUGCACCACAGAUAACCUGCCGUGCCAGACAACGUCACCCCCACAUUGACAUGGUGACCACUAAGAAUGCCUGGGAAUUCCACACACUUGAGUACAGCCCCUUAACCUACCAACAAGGCUCUUCUUUUUAGUUAAAUGGUAAUGAUUAUGUGACAACUACAUCCAAAGUCUCAUUCUCUGCUUCAUGCCCUUCGAUGACUCAGCAGUAUGUGGAAAAUGUGCGGUAAGGAAAACUUAAUACGCAAAAUUCAGAUUUACAGAACAGAUAAAUCAGGGAGUAGUGAGUGAGUCAUCCCAUCACAAUAGAAUUCUUCACUCUUCCAUCAGAAUUCUUUAAAAUAGCCAGUUCCUCCAGCACCUCUAAAAUAAAACUCCUCACCAAACUUUACAUGUAAAUCCUCGGGACUACGUCCACUGCAGAUAGCAAGGCAUUCCCAUGUUGAUUAUUCUCUGUCUGCUUUCUGCUUGACUUCACCCCUCCCUGAUGGAAAGAUCAGUAAAGGACUGAGACCUCCUUGGAAAGUGUAGGAAUCCAACCACCAGCAUUGUGCCCAGAGGACAUCUCUGAAGCUCAUACCAGCACUUGAUUUCCAACCUGUGAACAUUUCAUCUCAUAUUAUAGUCGUGUGGAUCUCAACCUACAUCCCUUCCCAGAAGGGGGAAAUUGAGUUCAGCUCUCAGCCUUCAGUUGCUAAAUGGUGUUGGGGAGGGGCGGUAUCAAUCAAGUAGCUGGGGAACAGAAUGGGGAUGAAGGCUUUCCAUCUCCUGGGGUAUGAUCUUGCGUGCCCAGCCCCCACUGACAACCUGCUUCCUUCUCUCCAGCUCUGCUCUCAACUUGGCCAUGAUUAAUUUUCUUCUCUUGAUUGACACAGCCCUUAAAGAGCAAGCGCCUCCAUUCCCUUGUUGUGUGUUCAAGCAUGGCAAGGCAGGAGGCACGGAAUCCAUUAAGGGGAAGAAUAGCAGGGCUUCGUCCUCCAUCUCACAGCCAGCUUCUCCUCCACGCUGACCCGGUUCCGUUCCACUGGGGCUGUUGUGAGCCAGCAGGUUAUGUAACAUCCUAUAGAGGCUCCCAUUUAAAACUCUGAUAGGUGACAGCCCAGAUGACAAACAGGCUUCAGUCUGUCAAGCGAACGUCUCCAAAGCAGCCGCAUUUCCAGGCUGCUGUUUUCUUUCCCGUAGUCCAUCAGGACUGCACUCAGCUAUGCAGACCCUUCCGGGGGAUGGGAGCCGCUGGGUCUCAGCAAGGGGCUGUCAGAUUGUCCCACUUUUCCUGCCUAAUUCAUACUGGGGUAUCCAUAUUUAUAUUGAUCUGGGCACAUUAACGCCAUACUCAUGCUAGGCAUCAACUUGGCAGAUGAUCCAAAGCAACUUUGCACUCACUAAAAAUUUCAACUCACCCACAAAAUGCUGAUAUUUAGCCUGGUCAGUGAUGUGAUUUGUUCCCCCACUGCAAACAGAAAUCACAUCAGGGAUCGCAUAUGUAGGUGAUGUAUAUAUCAUCUCUCUCACGUGUUAACUAUUUAGAAACCCUAUACAUUGCUCACCUAAAAAUUACACAACUGUAGCUCCCCCUGUCAGCAUGUCACCUAGGGCUUCAUCUAACCUGACACUCAGAUGUAACUAACAAAAUGCCAUCCACAAGGCACCUGCAAGGGGACAAGGCCUUAUACUGUUGGGAGCCCGUCCCGUCACAAAUCUACAAAUGCCAAGAUGGAAUGUCAAUAGUUCUCCGUUCCUUGGUCCUCAUUUAUACGCUGUGGUGGAAAACUUAACCUGGCCCACUCCACCUGCUCCAUUUCUUCUAAUUUAUGUAGUAAUAGAUUUUGGCUGAAUGCUCCCAUUCCAUGGCUCCCUGCCUGACUGACCUUGACCUUGGCGAGGAGAGGAGGGAAGCUGGCGGGCCGGCUACCAUCCAAAGCUGUUGAGGGCAUGGUUACCUGGUCCAUCCCCAUCCUUUGCCUUUGCCAGGUCCCUCUGAGAUGCAGCCUGCCUCCUCUGGUCCUUGUCAUUUCCCAGGGCAUCUUCUGCUGAUGCCCACCAUCCCAGUGUGUCCCGGGAAGGCAAACUUUCUGUGUCAUCUUUGUCCCAAGCACAGGUUUUGCAUUUCCAUCUGCACGGGCUCACCCUGCAGUGUCUCCCAGGGAGCUCAGGACCUCCCAGCUGCUCCCCCCCAACCCCAUGUCCACAUGGGGCACUCCCUCAGGCCCAUUUGUCCAUGCACCCCCUUCUCCUGGACUGUUCUACAGCUGAGGACCCGGGGAGGAUGCGUCAGCCUCCCCUUUUCUCCUCGUGUGGAACUUCUUUAGGGCUAGUCAUCCACCACCCGCCGUCCACCCACCACUACUCGGAGAUGGUGUAGAGGGGUGUCCUAUGGGGUGAAGCCUAUAACUGUUACAUUGUCUUCAUGUCCAUAUCUCUCUGGAAACCACUGUAACCAGCAAGGGUUCUGGUCGCGUGGAAUCUCACUUUUACAACUUCAUGUAUUUUCUGUCCAGUUGCUGCUGUGGAAUAUAUAUUUUAUGCCCCAAUACUUUGCUUCUCUCCAAAAGACCAGCCUUUGCAAAUCAAACAUUUUCAUUUCCAGGAGUUCCUUUCGUGGCUCAGCGGAAACCAAUCUGACUAGUAUCCAGGAGGAUGUGGGUUCAAUCCCUGGCCUUGCUUAAUGGGUUGGAGAUCUGCUGUUGCCAUGAGCUGUGGUGUAGGUCACAGAUGUGGCUCGGAUCCUGCAUUCCUGUGGCUGUGGCUGGCAGCUGGCCAGGGAUCAAACCUGCAACCUCAUGGUUCCUAGUUGGAUUUGUUUCCACUGUGCCACAAGGGGAACUCCAUGAUGUAUUUAUUCUGUCAUUCUU